rnacentral:rRNA from 1 species
CCUACGGGAGGCAGCAGUAGGGAAUAUUGCUCAAUGGGGGAAACCCUGAAGCAGCAACGCCGCGUGGAGGAUGAAGGUUUUCGGAUUGUAAACUCCUUUUGUUAGAGAAGAUAAUGACGGUAUCUAACGAAUAAGCACCGGCUAACUCCGUGCCAGCAGCCGCGGUAAUACGGAGGGUGCAAGCGUUACUCGGAUUCACUGGGCGUAAAGGGCGCGUAGGCGGGAUAGCAAGUCAGAUGUGAAAUCGUAUGGCUUAACCAUGGAACUGCAUUUGAAACUGUUAUUCUAGAGUAUGGGAGGGGUAGGCGGAAUUCUUGGUGUAGGGGUAAAAUCCGUAGAGAUCAAGAGGAAUACUGAUUGCGAAGGCGACCUGCUAGAACAUAACUGACGUUGAGGCGCGAAAGCGUGGGGAGCAAACAGGAUUAGAUACCCUAGUAGUC